GUACUCUGGGGACAGGGCAGGGGUUGAAGGUGGGGUGUGAAGAAGAGCUGGUGAGUGAGGUGCACUAAAGAUGGGGCUAGAGCUCCAAAGUCAGCCUGGAUUGUUGACUCUGCAGAGCUGCAGUUGGAGCUCAAACCCUCAACCCAGCCAAAGCUGUCAGGCACCACCAGAAAUGUGACCUGGUGCCCGGUGCCCUGCUCAGGUGCUCUAAGAAGCUUGGGUAUCUGGGCUGUGACUGUGGGCCCAUUCUAAUAUGUAAAAACAUGAGGACAACUAAGAAGAUGGGUGGAAGCAACUAAGGCUCCUUUUCUCCUGGCUUGUGUCCAGAAAGAUUUCCAUCCCAGCGGAGGUGCUUAGAAGACAGGUAUGUGUGGACCUCUGAGCAGGGAAACCUUGGGUCUGUUUCACUGUCCCUAUUCUUAGAGCCACGCUGUUCUAAGGCUGAUUCAAAAAGAUCCCAGAUAUGGAAGGGUAGGCUGUGAGCACUGCGGAAGAACUCUUUGCACAUAACCACUUAGUCCAAACCCUGCAUUAAGAGACCAGAAAAAAUAGUAGCAUAGUUUCUAACAGGUCAAAUCCAUGUCCCUGGGAUGUCUACCACAGCCCCCUGAAGUUCCUGCAUGAGAAAGCUUACAGCUGCCAGAAGAAUUCAGUUUAUUCCAGCCAACACAUAAGGAUAAGGUCCCUGUCUCCCAGUCUCUGCAAGAGAGUGGGAGCCUAGUUUUCAUAAGCACUAGUUAGCAAAUCCAGAUGGCCUCAUCCUGCACCUAUAUAUUUCUACUUUCCUGAUUCUGCUCACCACCCCCACUGCAUUUCCCCCAGUGACCACACUCAAAGCAAGAUGGGAUUUUUCAAUGUUGAGAUUAUUAUUUUCUCCUGAGAUUGAGAACUGUUUGAGUGUGGAAGAGGGAUUGGGUGGGAAAGCAAAUGAGCUUCCGUGUGAGGAGGUGCGGCCAGGCUCUGGACAGUUACCUCAGGUUCUGCUUGUCAGGAUGGUGGUGACCAGGGAGUAGAGGUCCAGCUCUAAAGUAUAACAAAGUGCCUCUAGCUAAGUCAUUUCAUUGAUUUGAGAUUCUCUUUCCACCUUGGCACACUGAUCUGUAAAAUGGUCUUCAAACUUUUUUAUGGGUAGCAACUUAUUUUUCAGAUAGGAAUUUAGAUAAUUCUCUCAAAUAGAUGACAAUAGAGCUUCUUUAGUAGAGUGGAGAAUUGAGAGGUUGCCCACUGGGUCUAACAGACUCUCCUGAGGGAACUGAAUUACCUCCAAAGAACCUGCUACCACAGAAACUACUGUUCCAAGGCACCCAAUCUCACCUUCUUCCACUUAGCAGUCAGACCCCACCCAGAAGAGUUUUGUCAGGGCACAUGUCCAGCUUCCCUCAAGCUUCUAACCAAGUAAAAGGGCAGCUCUCAGGUAAUUCCCUGAAAAAAAGCUUAGUCCUCUGCUUCCUCUGCCUUUUUCCACCUGGCUGGGAGAGGGGAUAAUGGAGUGGCAUCUUGAACCCACAGGUAGAUACCAUGUAUUGAUGGUGUAAAGUCAGUGUGUCAGCAUCAUUGCACAGUGACCUUGUGGAGCACAGCAACAUUGUUCUGAACCACCCCCCUACCUACCACUAUACUAUUAUUGGCUUGUCUUGUUAAAGGCAGUGUGUUUGGGUCUUUUCGGAAAGUGGAUCAGCCAGUUGCUUAACCAGGAGAGCAAGGCUCAAAGGAGGAGUUUGAUAACUUCUACAUUACCUACUCUCAGCCUUCAGCCAUGCUCAACUUACGGAAGGCCAUUUCACUUAUUAUGACACAUGUUCCCAUGUGGCUUUGGCUCACUUUUAAAACUUCCUCAACUCUACCCCAAUAAAGAAAUCUGCAAGUUUGUUGAAGGAGAGGAUCAGAAGAGGGUUGGUUCAUCCAAUCAGUCAUAAAUGUAGAUGCUAAUUUCUAAAAUGGUGUGAGAACACAAAGGAAAUUAGUAGAAGAUCUGAUUUUUUUAAAAUAUUUUAUUCAUUUAUUCAUGAGAGACAGAGAGAGAGGCAGAGACACAGGCAGAGGGAGAAGCAGGCACCAUGCAAGGAGCCCAAUGCAGGACUCGAUCCCGGGACUCCAGGAUCACACCCUGGGCUGAAGGCCCACGCUGCAGAUUUGGGAGAAAACUGUUCUCAGAGAUGAAUGCUGGUAGAUUACAAACCAAAGGAACCAGAGAGAAAGUUGAUACACCGCUAUAGGCUGUUCUGAACUGCUUUCCUGCAGCUUCUGGGGUUUCUCUGUGAAUGGCACAGGGGUAUCUCAGUUUGGAUGACAAAUUAUAUGGAUAUCCUACUUAAGGAAUAAAGAACUGUAUAUUUCUCUCACUUCACAGUCCAAAGUAAGCACUCCUGCCUGGCAGCUCUGUCCUGAGUUCCUUUUAUGUAAUUGCUCUGCAAAUUUCAGGGAAUUGUUGUCAUCUGGAUGGUUGGAGCUGGGCUACUGCCAUGUGAGGUUGUCAUCAGUGACUUUUUGAAUUUUUUUUUUUUUUUGAGAAAGAGAAAGAAUAUGCACACAAGUCAGUGUGCUCGAGCAAGGGGGAGGGGCAGAGGGAGAGGGAGACAAUCUCAAGGAAACCUUAUGUUCAGUGCAAAGCCUGAGUGGGGCUCAAUCUCAUCACCCUGAGGUCAUGACCUGAGCUGAAAUCAAGAGUCGGAUGCUUAACCAAGUGAGCCAACCUGGGGAAUAUAAAUAAUAGUGAAAGGGAAUAUAAGGG